GACGAACGCUGGCGGCGUGCUUAACACAUGCAAGUCGAACGGAAAGGCCCUGCUUUUGUGGGGUGCUCGAGUGGCGAACGGGUGAGUAACACGUGUGUAACCUGUCCUUAACUUUGGGAUAAAUUUAGGAAACGGGGGCUAAUAUCGGGUAGGAGCUCCUGCUGCAUGGGGGGGGUUGGAAAGUUUCGGCGGUUGGGGAUGGACUCGCGGCUUAUCAGCUUGCUGGUGGGGUAGUGGCUUACCAAGGCUUUGACGGGUAGCCGGCCUGAGAGCGUGACCGGCCACAUUGGGACUGAGUGACGGCCCAGAUGCAUACCGUAGGCAGCAGUGGAGAAUAUUGCACAGUGGGCGGACGUCAGAUGGAGCAACGCCGCGUUCGUGAUGAUGGCUUUCUGGUUGAGAACCGAUUUGGCCUUUGGCGAAGAGGCAAUGACGGUAACGGGUAAAGAAGCACCGGCUAACUACGUG
rnacentral:rRNA from 1 species